UGAUACUCCCUUCGUCUCAAAAUAAGUGCAGCCAUGAUUUUUCGCGUCCAACUUUGAUCAUUCGUCUUAUUUUAAUUUACAUAAGUCACGAGUAAAGUAUUGUUCAUGUUUUAUCAUCUUAUAACAACAAAAAUGUUAAUUAUAAAAAAAUUUCAAAUAAGACGGACGAUUAAAGUUGAGCGCGGAAACUCAUGGCUGCACUUAUUUUGGGAUGGAGGUA
rnacentral:pre_miRNA from 1 species